UACGUAGGGUGCGAGCGUUAAUCGGAAUACUGGGCGUAAAGCGUGCGCAGGCGGUUCGUUGUGUCUGAUGUGAAAGCCCCGGGCUCAACUUGGGAACGGCAUUGGAAACUGGCGAGCUAGAGUGUGGCAGAGGGGGGUGGAAUUCCGCGUGUAGCAGUGAAAUGCGUAGAGAUGCGGAGGAACACCGAUGGCGAAGGCAGCCCCCUGGGCUGACACUGACGCUCAGGCACGAAAGCGUGGGGAGCAAACAGG
rnacentral:rRNA from 1 species